rnacentral:tRNA from 1 species
GCCGAAGUGGCGGAAUUGGCAGACGCGCCAGAUUCAGGUUCUGGUGAGGUAACACUCGUGGAGGUUCGAGUCCUCUCUUCGGCA